rnacentral:rRNA from 1 species
ACGGCUCAGUAACACGUGGACAACCUGCCCUUAGGUUGGGUAUAAACCCGGGAAACUGGGUAUAAUACCCGAUAGGUCUCGAUUGCUGGAAUGCAUCGAGAUUUAAAGCUCCGGCGCCUAAGGAUGGGUCUGCGGCCUAUCAGGUAGUAGUGGGUGUAGCGUACCUACUAGCCUACGACGGGUACGGGUUGUGAGAGCAAGAGCCCGGAGAUGGAUUCUGAGACACGAAUCCAGGCCCUACGGGGUGCAGCAGGCGCGAAAACUUUACAAUGCUGGCAACAGCGAUAAGGGAACCUCGAGUGCCAGGUUACAAAUCUGGCUGUCGAGAUGCCUAAAAAGCAUUUCAUAGCAAGGGCCGGGCAAGACCGGUGCCAGCCGCCGCGGUAACACCGGCGGCUCGAGUGGUAACCGUUAUUAUUGGGUCUAAAGGGUCUGUAGCCGGCCGGAUAAGUCUCUUGAGAAAUCUGGCAGCUUAACUGUCAGGCUUUCAGGAGAUACUGUCUGGCUCGAGGCCGGGAGAGGUGAGAGGUACUUCAGGGGUAGGGGUGAAAUCUUGUAAUCCUUGAAGGACCACCAGUGGCGAAGGCGUCUCACCAGAACGGACCUGACGGCAAGGGACGAAAGCUAGGGGCACGAACCGGAUUAGAUACCCGGGUAGUCCUAGCCGUAAACGAUACUCGCUAGGUGUCGGCCACGGUGCGACCGUUGUCGGUGCCGUAGGGAAGCCGUGAAGCGAGCCACCUGGGAAGUACGGCCGCAAGGCUGAAACUUAAAGGAAUUGGCGGGGGAGCACCACAACGGGUGGAGCUUGCGGGUUUAAUUGGAUUCAACGCCGGG